AGUUACCAAGAUUCUGAUUUUGUAUAAAAAUAGUGUAACAAAAACAAAGUAAUGUAACGACAAAUAUUAUUGUGCACGAAAUUAUAUAGCACACCCCUUGUUCUAAUAUGUAUUUAUGAUAUGCAUUUUAUUUUACUUUUUGUACAUGUUUAGACACUGUCCCAACUUAAUUCUUCUUUUUUUUGUUUUUUUUUAGGUGAAGUGUUGUCGCCGCUGCCAACUAAAUGACCCCAUGAAGACGGGGACACCAGUGUUACAUUCUAUUAAGGUGAAGGCUGCAUGGGAGGUGAUUGGCCUGGAUUUAAUUGGCCCACUGCGAGAAACUGGUCAAAAAAACAAGUAUGUGUUGACCAUGACUGAUUUAUAUACAAAGUGGGUUGUUGCUGAGCCACUGCAAAAUAAGACUGCAACUGAAGUGUCAGCAGCCAUCAUAAAGACACUCUACUUGUUCGGCAUGGUCAAGAAAAUUAUUACUGACCAAGGGAGAGAGUUCGUUAAUGAGCUGAAUGAAAACAUCUUUGCAACUCUGAAAAUCAAACAUGCUGUCUCAAGUGCCUACCACCCUCAGACAAAUGGGCAGGUAAUUUUCAACAUAAUUUUAUUUGACAUUUCCCUGUAAUGUUAAAAAAAAUUAGGAAAUGUUUUAAUUGUUGUUGUUUUUUAUAUAUAUAUAGGAUGAGCGAACAAAUCAAAAUGUCAAACGUGUAUUGCGGAAGUAUGUAAAUGAAAGCCAUAAUGAUUGGGACAUCCAUUUACCUGCAGUUGUGUAUGGUAUUAACACUGCUAAGCAAGUGGGUAUUCAUUAUACAUUCAUUAUGGUCGAUAUAUAAUGUAAUCGAUAUAUAAUGUUUUAUUUCUGAUAACUUAAUUUGUUUUUAACCAGUCUUCAACCAGGCACACCCCGUAUUUCUUAUUCUUCCAUCGGCACCCUCAUUUGCCAGAGGUUAUGAACGCCUGUCCCAUGGGAGAAGACUUUAAAAUUGCUGACCCAGAAGAUGAUCUUGACACCCGAGUAAAUGAAAUGAAAAUUUUAAAUGAGAAGGUUAGGUCCAAAUUCAUGUAGUCUGACCACAGAAGUUUUUUUUAAUUCAAUGGCAUGUAGUAAAGUGUAAUUUUUUUUUUUUUU